rnacentral:rRNA from 1 species
AAGUCGUAACAAGGUCUCCGUUGGUGAACCAGCGGAGGGAUCAUUACUGAGUACUACACUCUCUACCCUUUGUGAACUAUUAUACCUGUUGCUUCGGCGGCGCCCGCAAGGGUGCCCGCCGGUCUCAUCAGAAUCUCUGUUUUCGAACCCGACGAUACUUCUGAGUGUUCUUAGCGAACUGUCAAAACUUUUAACAACGGAUCUCUUGGCUCCAGCAUCGAUGAAGAACGCAGCGAAACGCGAUAUGUAAUGUGAAUUGCAGAAUUCAGUGAAUCAUCGAAUCUUUGAACGCACAUGGCGCCUUCCAGUAUCCUGGGAGGCAUGCCUGUCCGAGCGUCGUUUCAACCCUCGAGCCCCUGUGGCCCGGCGUUGGGGAUCUGCCACGGCAGGCCCCUAAAACCAGUGGCGGACCCGAAGGGCCCUCUCCUUUGCGCAGUAGCAUUCGCCUCGCAUCGGGAGUCCUCGGCGUCCUGCCUCUAAACCCCCCACAAGCCCGCUUCGGCGGCACCAAGGUUGACCUCGGAUCAGGUAGGAAUACCCGCCGAACUUAA